UAUGGGCUUCACGUGGGUGUCUGAUGGAGUGGGCAUGUGAUGAAGGGAAUUGAAAAGAUAAUGUAAGUAGUGGUCACGUGGGUUUGUUAGUGGAAUGGUCUUUAAAUAAGGUGUGUGACUUUGGGUUUGCAUGAGGAAAGCAAAAGAUAAAAAUUAUAGAAGACGGAGAGUUUUGAGAUACAGAGAGAGUAAGCAAAGACAGAAGAAAAAAAAAAAAGACAGAGUGAGUUUGAGGAAAAACAGAGAGUGAGUUUAAGGAAACAGAGAGGGCCGAGAGUUGCAGAGGGAGGCCGGAAACUUGGUGGCUUGAUGAUCCAGUGCAGGAAUUCUUUUUCAGUUUUCAGGUACCAAGGACGAACGGGGAUUGCUAGAUUCGGGCUUAGGUUGAAGAGUUGGCGUUGCAGGAAUUUAUUUUUUUUAUUUGGAGAUUUUUUUUUGUGUAUUUGAGGAAAUUAAUUUUGUAUAAAAGAGGGGGUAAUUUUUAUAAUCCUGGGUGAUUAUUUGUAUUUGAAUAAAUCGAGAAUUUUAUUGGAAUUCUCGAGGCGUGACAAUAAGUUUGUGAGACCAGUUUUGACACAUGGCAUACCA